rnacentral:rRNA from 1 species
AUUGAACGCUGGCGGCAGGCCUAACACAUGCAAGUCGAGCGGAUGGAGGGAGCUUGCUCCUGGAUUCAGCGGCGGACGGGUGAGUAUUGCCUAGGAAUCUGCCUGGUAGUGGGGGAUAACGUCCGGAAACGGGCGCUAAUACCGCAUACGUCCUGCGGGAGAAAGUGGGGGAUCUUCGGACCUCACGCUCUCAGAUGAGCCUAGGUCGGAUUAGCUAGCUGGUGGGGUAAAGGCCUACCAAGGCGACGAUCCGUAACUGGUCUGAGAGGAUGAUCAGUCACACUAGAACUUAGACACGGUCCAGACGCCUACGAGAGGCAGCAGUGGGGAAUAUUGGACAGUGGGCGAAAGCCUGAUCCAGCCAUGCCGCGUGUGUGAAGAAGGUCUUCGGAGUGUGAAGCACUUUAAGUUGGGGGGAAGGGCAGUAAGUUAAUACCUUGCUGUUUUGACGUUACCAACAGAAUAAGCACCGGCUAACUUCGUG